rnacentral:rRNA from 1 species
GACGGAGGAUGCAAGCGUUAUCCGGAAUGAUUGGGCGUAAAGCGUCCGCAGGUGGCAGUUCAAGUCUGCUGUCAAAGACCGGGGCUUAACUUCGGAAAGGCAGUGGAAACUGAACAGCUAGAGUAUGGUAGGGGCAGAGGGAAUUCCUGGUGUAGCGGUGAAAUGUGUAGAGAUCGGGAGGAACACCGGUGGCGAAGGCGGGUCUCUGGGCAAUUCCUGACGCUGAGGCGCGAAAGCGUGGGGAGCAAACGGG